rnacentral:rRNA from 1 species
GAUGAACGCUAGCGGCAGGCUUAAUACAUGCAAGUCGAGGGGCAGCAUGGUUGUAGCAAUACAACUGAUGGCGACCGGCAAACGGGUGCGGAACACGUACGCAAUCUACCCAAAACUGAUGAAUAGCCCUCCGAAAGGAGGAUUAAUACAUCGUAACCUAUUAGAGUAGCAUUACUUUAUUAGUAUAGCUCCGGCGGUUUGGUAUGAGCGUGCGCCUGANAGGUAGUUGGCAGGUAACGGCCUACCAAGCCUACGAUCAGUAACUGGUGUGAGAGCACGACCAGUCACACGGGCACUGAGACACGGGCCCGACUCCUACGGGAGGCAGCAGUGAGGAAUAUUGGUCAAUGGACGCAAGUCUGAACCAGCCAUGCCGCGUGAAGGAUGAAGGUCCUCUGGAUUG